UGGGGAAUUUUGCGCAAUGGGCGAAAGCCUGACGCAGCAACGCCGCGUGGAGGAUGAAGGUGCUCUGCAUCGUAAACUCCUGUCGGUCGGGACGAACGGUCGCCGGGCUAAUCACCGGAGGCCUGACUGUACCGGCAAAGGAAGCCCCGGCUAACUCCGUGCCAGCAGCCGCGGUAAUACGGAGGGGGCAAGCGUUACUCGGAAUUAUUGGGCGUAAAGGGCGCGUAGGCGGUCCUGUGCGUCGGAGGUGAAAUCCCCGGGCUCAACCCGGGACGUGCCCCCGAUACGGCAGGGCUGGAGUGCAGGAGAGGGAAGCGGAAUUCCCAGUGUAGCGGUGAAAUGCGUAGAUAUUGGGAGGAACACCAGUGGCGAAGGCGGCUUCCUGGACUGCUACUGACGCUGAGGCGCGAAAGCACGGGGAGCAAACAGG
rnacentral:rRNA from 1 species